UACGAAGGGUGCAAGCGUUACUCGGAAUUACUGGGCGUAAAGCGUGCGUAGGUGGUUCGUUAAGUCUGUCGUGAAAGCCCCGGGCUCAACCUGGGAAUGGCGAUGGAUACUGGCGAGCUAGAGUGCGGUAGAGGGUGGUGGAAUUCCCGGUGUAGCAGUGAAAUGCGUAGAUAUCGGGAGGAACACCAGUGGCGAAGGCGACUACCUGGCCUGUUCUUGACGCUGAGGCGCGAAAGCUAGGGGAGCAAACGGG
rnacentral:rRNA from 1 species